CACUCUCAUUACCACGAACGACCCCUGUCAAUUUGGGUAAACUUUCCUUUAGCUUCAAACCGAUGCGACAUAAUGCAUUUCAAUAGGGUUUCUUCAUAUUCUAUCUGCCCUAGUUUCACACAAUUCGGGCUUGAAGUGAUCUCAACAUGCCUUUACUUGUUUCCCUCAAAUGUCCCUAUCAUCUUCAAAAUUGUUCCAUUCAUUACUUCAUGACUAAACUGAAUUUUUAAGACCAGGCUGUAAAUUACGCAUACAUGUCAUGUUACUAGAGUCAACAAGAAAAGAACUAUAAAAGAAAAGAGAACUAAACAAAAAUGACUAGAAAUCACAGAAAACAGAAAAUUGCAUUAGACAAAUGGUGACAGGGUUUGCACAAAAAUACAAACAAACUAAACUGGGGCUACAAAUCUAGACCAAACCUAGACAACACUAAACAUGCUGCUAGACUAAACAAACUAGGCAAAAUAAGAGGAUAGAAGGGUUUGAGUCACAAGACAAUAUCUGGAUUACAACCCUGAAAUAACCCGGAUAACAGAAAUGACAACAAAAUAAACCACCAAAACUCCUCCCUGGCUAACCAAGACAGGAGCGUAUUUCCAAUUGCCAAGCUCGGCAUCUUAGCCACUGAAUUCUGCAUCAACAUUACUAGGACCUUCACAAACUUCCAUCACAUUGUUCUUAACAAAUUGCUUUUGGGUUCCCUUUGCUGGCUCGUUCUUAAGAUCAACCUCUGAUAGCACUAAAAACUUCGCAGUGCGUGGACCUUCGAGGAUCUCAGAAGAAUUUUCAUAUUCCUUUUCAAAACAAAUCAUACUCACCAUAUACGUCUCAUUACGAACAGGCGAUGGACUUUGGCUAAUGUUUGUUGCAUCUGGAUUUUGCACGACAAUGUCACCUGCAUCAAUAAGCCUCUAAAUUGCUUUCUUCAGAUUCCAACACUUCUCUAUGUCAUGCCCCGGGGCAUCUGAGCAAUAUGCGCACCUUUGAGAAAAAUCAAACUUCUUUGACAGAGGGUUUGGCAUUUUGAUAUGAAUCGGCUUCAACAUGUUCAAUUGCUUCAACUUUUGGAACAAACUGGCAUAUGACACUCCCAAUGGGGUGAAAGCCUUUUCUUUUUUUCAGCAACCUCUCAUUCUUAAAUGCUUGAUUGGACCGAAAACCUGACCCAGGGGGUUUUUGGCAGGCUCAUGGGGGCGGGUAAGACAUUUGGGGAAGUGGUGUGGGCCAUCGCGGGCCUUGUGGGUGUGGAACAUAUGGUGGUGCAUUGUGGACAGGGUACUGGGAAAGUGAUGUACGACUUUGGAAGUUUUGUGGGGAGAAGUAGCAUUGGGGAGGAUUACAAGCAUAUCUAUGAGGUCGAUAUUGAGGCUGAAAGCGUUUCGCAAGAACGACCACUGGACCCUGUUGUCGGCGGGGCUCACCAACAUCUUUUCUAUCAAUGGGACGACUAUCCUGAGCAAUUUGUUCGUUCC
rnacentral:lncRNA from 1 species